rnacentral:tRNA from 1 species
GCCUGGGUGGCUCAGUUGGUUAAGCAUCUGACUUUGGCUCAGGUCAUGAUCUCACAGUUUGUGGGUUCGAACCCCAUGUCGGGCU